AGAAUAGCUGUUCUUCCUCUUCCUGUUUUUGACAAGCAACAAGUCAAAAGGUUGUGCAGAUAAAGAGAGUGUAUAAUAAUCAGUAGUGCAUGCUUCUACACGAACAAACUUGACGGCACACACAAGCAACAAACCCUUAGAUUAACUCCACUGACAGUAGUGACAUCAUUGAGUUAUUCGUUGCUUUGAUCCCAAAGGGCCCUAGAUAUUUUUGCUUCUUAUUGUGCAAAUACAAUAAAAUUAUGUGUUAAGAUGAUUUAGUAAAAUAACUAAUCAAGAUGAAAG
rnacentral:misc_RNA from 1 species